GGCAAAGGUAGGUUGGGUAGGCAAGAUGUAGGAUUUGUGAUUGUUGAAUGGUGAAAUGUUUGUGGAAUGGUUUUGAUUUAUACAUUGACAUCUAUUGUAUUAAUUUGGCCGGGGAAUGCCCCCAAGUAUCUGUAUAUAUUUAUUCACCGGGGAAUGCCCCGAGGUACCUUGUACUUGGAAGAUGUUUGUGGUGAAGGCCCGAGGCGUCGGGUGAAGCGGUAGAGCGUAGUCUAGAGUAGACUAGAUUUAUAUUUCCGCAUUAUUUAUUUUUGAACUGUAUAAUUGGACUGGACUUUUACAUUUUUGGAUUGUUUUGUUUUGUCUACUGUUUUGAUUAUUUUGCGUGCUUUUGUGU
rnacentral:lncRNA from 1 species